rnacentral:lncRNA from 1 species
GCUACCUUUGUUUAUCCUAGUAAGUGUUAGUUUGGAAGUACUGCACAUACUUCAAUUGGAUUUUAAAUUAAGCAUGGUGCUUAGGUUAAACAGCCUUCCUUAAUCUGAUUAGACAUGGAGUCUAGUUCGGUUAUUGAACUAAAAACUGCUUGUGUAGACAUUGGUAUAUUUUGUCGGACUAACCCCUGCAGAAAAACUUUCAAUAUUGAUUUGGGAAGUCCUGAGAUAAACUCACAUCGGAGUUGAAGAGAGAGACACAUGAAGUUUAACAAUUUGCUCAAGAAGGACAUAGCUCAUUCAUCAUAGAGAGAUGAUCCAUGGAAGGAGACAAAGUACAUAAACAAGAUACACAACCACUACGAAUGGGAAGCUUCCACAAGGUGAAAUAGUACCAUCACUCUUCAAUUAAGGUAACAUCUUAAGAUAUGUGACUAUCACUUUUAUGAGCUUCUCCUUGGUUCUGGCGUUCACAUAAAUAAAGAGACAAACAUGUAUGAUUUAUAACUCCAAAUUAACCAACCCAACUGAUUUAGAAUGUUUAGUCUUUUAAUCUUUGUUCCUAGUACUACCUCCAUGAUCCCACACUCCUAAUCAUAUGAGCUUUGGGAAGAUAUAAAGUUAAGUGAACUUAUCGCCCAUAAAGUUAAGUGAACUUAUUGCACAUUCAAUCUUUGGGAAGAUAUAAAGAAAAAGACAUAGAUAGAUUAUCUUUCCAUAAAGUUAAGUGAUCUGAUCUAACAAAUGUUUUAAAUGCUACACUCAUGAACUUAUCGCCCAUCAACUUCGUCUUGCUCACUAUGCUUAAGGUUAGAGAAGAACAAAUACACUUUUGGUUUUGUUGGUGUUUUCCACCAAUAGGGCCCAUGCACUUGAUCUCUGCCUUGUCUCUAUGAGCAGGUAAACUUCGAGCAAAACAUGGAGGAGUUUUACAACUCCCAGACUCCACCAAGUGAAGGACCUGGAUCUACGAGCACAAACACACUGAGCAGGAUGCUGCCAACGCCGCACUUCGAACUGUUGGGCAAACGAAGAACAUGGUUGACACCGUAUCAAGAGGUGCAGACGUCAAGGUCCACACCUGAAUCAAAUGACGCACCUAAAGAAUGAACACGGUGAGAAGUCUUGUUGAGAAGACUUAAAACAUUGAACCCUCGCCGAAAGGUAAAAUCAGUAGUUAUCCAUAUUUAUCCUUUCUGCAUUCCCUUUCCCUUAAAAUUAUUGACUUUCCUUAAUAGCUUGUCAGUUAAUCAUGCUAUCUUGAAAAGAAAUUAAAAAUAUUAAAAAACAGUAAGCCCCAUGUGAGUAUGCUCGUGGCAUAAAAUCCAUAAGUACAUUCACUGUGGUGGUGUAAAAAUAAAAAUGUUCCUAUCAUAUAAAAAUUAAAAUAUAAAAAUAAAUUUAUGAUCCUACCAAAGAGAGUAAUAUUUAUUAGAGGAAGCUCAACAUGAUAAAGGCAAAGAGAUUUUAUGCUCACACUUAACCAGUUCCACAAAGCUUUGUUGUCUAUUUGAGCUCCACAGAAUUUGAGGAUCAAAGAAGACUAGCAGACAGAGGACAUUCUAAUCGCUGUCAGGGUGCUGCCUACAUUCAAAUAUACCUCCGCCACCUGCUAGCUACAUCAGAAGAAAUUACGUCAAAAUCCAGCUUGGGGGAGAGCACCCCCAUUUAUCCAGCUAAGUGUUUCUACUCGUGUUUAUACUUUAGUCAAGUAAUAAAAAGAUGCAUAAUCAUAAAAAACCCAAAGAAAGAUUUUAUGCUUAUAUAUAUAUAUAUCUUUGCUUAGUUUUCUAAAUAAAUAAAUAAAGUUUGCUAUGAACCCUCAUGAUAAGCUCUCACAUGGAAAUGAUGAAUAGUUGCUCUGUCAUGACUAGUUCUCAAAAUUGAAUUCUCUCUCAAGUUUAGGCAUGACUGUUAUGAAUUAAGGUUUGCUCUAAACCUGAACUUGUGGGAGGAGUACUUGAUCUAAAGUCUAAGUCGUUAACGGAUAUGAUAUGAGAAUGUUGAGCUGCUGUUUAUCUGUUCCUAGAGAUGCUAGAAUUCUGAAGAAUUUUAUCUUUGAAAAUCUUUAAAAUGUUGCAUGAUGAGUUCCUGUAUGAUGAGAGUUUAAAAUCCUACCACAACCACAUAUACAUGCCUAUUAGACUAUGAACCAUACAUUUACUUUUUACUGCUUAUGAGCAUUGAGUGUGGUCAAGCUGUGUAGACCCUUAGGAGCUUGUCAUACGGAUAAAAUCAAGAUUCACUUGCACGUUCACUCAUACAUGCUGCUUCUACUCCGGAAGUACACAUCCACAUACAUCCAGUCAUUUCCAUCUCAAGAUUCACCCAAAAUUAUUCUACUCCUAUCCAGGAGAGAAUAGCCAAAAACAUUAUCCUAUCCCUAUUAUUCCCCGUGAAAUAAAUGCUCGAGAUAUUUUGGUUACUACCACUUGCUACAUUAUUCCAGGAGGGUGAGUGCUCUAAAAAAAGAGAGAGAGAAGAAAAAAAAAAGAAAAAUACAAGGAAAUAAAAAGGGGCAAGUGCCCAGAACCUCGAAGAAAAGAAAAAGUGAGACGAGAGGUAAAAAUGGACAAGUGUCCGAUAGUAGAAUUAGGGGUACAAGAUACCCACCUGACAGAAAAGAAAAAGAAAAUAUAGAGCAUCUCGUUCCCCUCAAAAAGCUUCAAAGUGCAAGAAAGGUAUGUAUCCCCUCAAAAGAGCAAAAGUAGAAUUAGACUUUCACCAUUGUUUUCACCAUUAUCACCAUCAUCACCAUAAACCAUUCAUUCACCACACAUGCACAUCUUAAUUUGACUUAUUGACUUGUUUCUCUGGAUCCAUGGUUUGACUAUGCAAUAAAUGUCUUGUAAGUAUGUAUUAGCUAUCUCCCACCUAUGAGCUCCAAAUAUCAAAACCUUAUUAGAGUAGGGUGAGAGAGAAGGCAAUGUCACUAUGCCUCGUACCAAAAAUACCACAUACUUUGAAGAGAAGGCAUACACCAUCAUUGCCUUUGUAAGGAUCCAGAAAUACCACAAAAGAGAGACUAGAGAGAGUCAUACAUGAAUCUCUGAGUUUUAUUUUGAAAAUCUACAAAAACUCCAGAGCUAUAGUUGAUCAAGAACAAGAGACAUGGCGCUUGACUAGACUGUUCUAUCUUUUAACUACUCAAGAUACAAGUGACGGUUACAAGCCCCAUGGUGAAAGGUAAAAUGAGUAAGUUUAAAUCUUAACAGUUUACACUAACCCAGAGAUUAGAUCUUGUUUGAACGCAUGUGUACCUUUAAGGCAUGAAACCACUAUAGAAACUCUUGAGUCCAUCCUUGCUCAGGGACGAGCAAGAGGUAAGCUUGGCGGAGUUGUUGACGGUCCUUAAGUAUCAAAUUUAAUCAUCAAAUAAAUAAAGAAAAGGAUCCAAAUGCAACCAACACCCAGACUUAGGGUUUUAUCUGAUAGAAUUCCACGAGUUUUGGUGUUUGUCUAUUUCUGCAGAGGGUUAUCAGGAAAUAUGGAGGAAAGGCCCACACGUCGGCUUUACAUAGAGAUAUUAACGUGUGCGAUAAUUUUCUAUCAUCUAGAAGACUCCAGAAGCCACGAGAACGAACGGGAAGCCGAGCGGGCUCGGGGACAGGGCGCCCGCCCUCCCCCCUUGGGCGCCCGCCCUGUCAUCUGGACCAAUCAGGCUCUACCUCGUGGAUCAUGCUCCACCGACCUAGGGGAUUAAGGACAACCGUGCGAUUAAGGUCGGUUUGAUCCGACGGCCCACAUUCAUUUGGAGGGGCUAUGUAAGCAGGCCCCCUGGCCCCUAGAGGAGGUACCUCUGAAUCCUUAUUCAUUAUUCAUAGACAGAGCAAAAGCUAGGGUUUGGAGAUGAAAGCUCUCCUCUCAUCUCUAAACUAGAGUAGAUCUAGAUAGUAGCGAGAUGGAGAGUGAGGGAGGAUUGGAGGAGAGGCCGGC